CUGGAAGGAAAGGCGGCCAAUGGAGGUGUUGGCUGAAGUACUGAAACAUAAGUAAGGCUCGGUUUUUUGCAGAAGCAAGGAGGUUACAACUGUUCAGAAUGGUGAUAUGAUAUCAGGUUAUGAUGAAUAAGUUGACUGUUUAUGGAUGUUAUAGGUAAAGAUCUCUGGGUGAGUGAGUGUGCAGAGACUCUGGGCCAUUGUGAGCUGUCUUCACAGGAGAAACCAGCCAGUCCAGCACUACUGGUGGAUGUGACCUUACUGGCUUGGAAACACUCAAAGCUGGCAUAGGAGUGCAAUGUGUGAGUUGGAUUACACCUCCAGAACCCAAUUCAGACUACUCUCCUCCCAU
rnacentral:lncRNA from 1 species